GGAUUCAUUUUCUCAGUAACGUAGCUAACGCGUGAAGUUGACCGCCUGGGGAGUACGGUCGCAAGAUUAAAACUCAAAGGAAUUGACGGGGACCCGCACAAGCGGUGGAUGAUGUGGAUUAAUUCGAUGCAACGCGAAAAACCUUACCUACCCUUGACAUGCCACUAACGAAGCAGAGAUGCAUUAGGUGCCCGAAAGGGAAAGUGGACACAGGUGCUGCAUGGCUGUCGUCAGCUCGUGUCGUGAGAUGUUGGGUUAAGUCCCGCAACGAGCGCAACCCUUGUCUCUAGUUGCUACGCAAGAGCACUCUAGAGAGACUGCCGGUGACAAACCGGAGGAAGGUGGGGAUGACGUCAAGUCCUCAUGGCCCUUAUGGGUAGGGCUUCACACGUCAUACAAUGGUGCGUACAGAGGGUUGCCAACCCGCGAGGGGGAGCUAAUCCCAGAAAACGCAUCGUAGUCCGGAUCGUAGUCUGCAACUCGACUACGUGAAGCUGGAAUCGCUAGUAAUCGCGGAUCAGCAUGCCGCGGUGAAUACGUUCCC
rnacentral:rRNA from 1 species